UUUAAUUAAUUGAUGAUUAACUGACAGAAGAUUCUUCUGCAACUGUUUAUCCUAUUUGAUAAAGGUUAUUUUUUCCUUUUUAGCAAAAAUGUCAAGUUUUUUGGUUCUAGCCUCUCAAACAUUAAGAAUAGCUGCUGGUUGGACACAAGAAGAAAUCUGACGGUCCAACGCCGAGCUUUAGAUGUCUGUCAUGGACAUUUUACACUACAAAAUGACAUGUGAUAGUUCAAAUGCAUUUCUGAUUAAAUUGUCUAACUGACGAAGUGACUAUCGGGUGAAUUAAAUAUCGAGAGGGAUGUAGUCUUGCAUUGCCAGACUGUUCUCCACAGUGCUGUCAGUGCGGCAGUGCCCCACAUUAAAUCAAUGAACACAAUGUACGUACAUCAGGCACUUUGAUUUAUCUUAAUUGUCUUUAAAAUGUAAAGGUUGAAGCAGAAAUUAGUUUUAAAUAAAUGUAUGGUGGUUGUGUCAAUUGCAUCUGACUGCACAAUUAUAGAAAACUAUAUGAGAAAAACAAUGUUUUAUUAUUUUAACAAAAUAAUAAUAAUUAGAAGAAGAAGAAGAACUAGAAAAGCACUCAGAGAGCACAGUACUCUGCCAAGGCUGUUCGUUCCCCCAUAUGGCAGUGUCAGUGUAGAAAAGGCUGCCCAGAGACUGUCAUGCUGGCCCUUUAAGGGGCGGAGCUUAGACCUGCAGCGCAGCGUGAGAGAGGAGAGAUGAGGAAAGGAGAGACAGAAAGUUCACGUUUUUCAGUACUGUUGCUUGUUAAGACCUUAACAGUUUAAGUUGGUGGUUUGUUUGUGUCGAAUGCCAAAGCCUGUGCGUGAAAAUAGAAACCACACUGGCAACGACUAAUGUAAGUCAAGUUCAUUAAAAGACAACAAACCAACCAGAGGCUCCUUAUUUAGAGUUCUAACCGGACUCCCAACAGUGAUUUGGACUUUCCUACCAGUCAUUCGUAUCUUUUAAUGGUCCUUCGAGCCGGAUACGCAAAUUGCUGUUUAAAGAUGCAGAACUCAGAGUUAGAAGAAGCAAGAGUCGCUCGACCCAAACGAAACACGUCAACACCCUCUUACCUUUCUGACUUUGACCUGAGUGGACCAGGGGUGCAGAGAAUAUUCCAAUUACCAGCUGCAGCUACAGGGGGAGUUAUGGUGGAGCCUACACCGUUGACACAUCCAACUACAAGAUCUCCAUCACCACCUAUUAGCCAGACCUUUGAAACAGCUAACAUGAGAGAUGUUGGGGAGCAGGGACAGAGGUCCAGCCAAGGUUUGGAGCAAGCCACUGGGGGUCAGCAAACCAACCAAUUUUCUGAGUUCACUGCUGUUCUCACAGAGAUGCGCCAAGAGAAUGCUGAGCUCCGCAAACAGUUCCAGAGCUUGAUGGCCGCCUUACAGCCCCAGCCAGCACUCCACCAGUCUCUACUCCCACCUCCUCCAGUUCAAGGUACAUACAGUGGUGGUUAUGACGGACACUACCAAUCCCCAAUCAGAGCUCCAACCAACACUCCAGUGCACCAGCAGUUACAAUAUCCGACACUCAGCACCAAAGGAAAUAUUGCACAAGAUUUCUCUCAACUCAGAGUUUCCCAAUCAUCCAGAGACCUGCCUUAUAGUCCAUACUAUGCAGCAUCCCAGCAGAGUGCACCCCGGGUGGACCUGUAUGGCCGCUCGUUCCAAGAAGGUGGUUCACAAUAUGGAGCUUCAUAUGCAGGUCGAGAUUCUUCAUUCUCCCAAGCGCCCUACCCCAAUAUGCCACAGAGAGAGACCACAUACAGGGGACCAAAGCCCACAAUUCCCAGCUUUAAUUCACCAGAUCCUAGAGAGUUUGCACGCAUGAAGAUUGCUCUAGAGAAUCUAUUACCAGAUAAUGCCACUGAGAGAUAUAAGUACCAGAUUCUCACAGACCAUCUUAAGUGUGAAGAAGCCUCACUCGUAGCCGACUCCUAUUGCAACUCCAUGCAACCCUAUACAGAUACAAUGAUGGCUCUCACCAGGAUGUAUGGACAGCCCCACAAGCUCGCAGUUCAACGGAUUGCAGAUUUAAUGGAUGGUCCAAACAUACGCAGUGGUGAUGUUAAAGGCUUUCGUCUGUUUGCCCUCAAUGUGCGGUCAUUAGUAGGCAUGUUGGAACAGCUGGAUCAAAGGGGCCAGGUAGAGUUAACUUGUGGCUCUCAUGUUUCGAGGUUGUUAAGUAAACUUCCCCAUGACCUCAACACCAGCUUUAAGAGAUUCAUCCACCCACAGAGAGUCGCCAUUCCCACCCUCGUCGACUUUGCUGAUUGGCUAGAAUACGAGCUAGAAGUUCAGGAAGACAGCAUUAGACCCCCUAAGAGAGAAGAGUCGUUUAACAAGAAGCCUGAUACCAAACGCACUCUCAAACCAUCAAGUAAGUCUGCUACUAUCCUCCUGGGCACUGAAAAGGAUUCAGGAUCAAGCACUGCGACAGCACCACCUGCAUCUAAACAGCUAACCAGCAAGUCAAGGAGAGUGGAGAAGGUAAAUGCCUACUGUCCCUAUUGCGACAAUGACAAGCACUUCCUGAACAACUGUUCUAAUUUCAAGGACUUGAGCAAGGAGCAAAAGGUGACAUGGAUCAAAGGGAACAAUAAGUGCUGGCGUUGUGGACGCAAUCACCAAGCGGCGAAGUGCAACUUAAAGCUCCCUGCAAGAUAUGUGGUAGGAGACAUCUGCUAGUGCUGCAUGAGGUGAAUGAGCGGGGAGACAAGGAGGAGCAGGCACCAGUUCCACCUUCAACAGAAAGCUGCCUUGUGAACACUGCUAACAAAAUACUGUACGUCGACCGCCCAGCCUACAACUGCAAGGUGUUACUGAAGAUCAGUAAAGUCUUCUUGAGGAACGGUGACAAGUUCUUGGAAACGUAUGCUGUUCUAGACGACGGAUCUGAGCGGACGAUACUUCUCCAGCCUGCUGCCAAACAGCUGGGUCUCAAAGGAAGUAAAGAGGUGUUGGCUCUCCGCACAGUCAGACAAGAAGUGGAGAAGCUCCAUGGGGCAACAGUGUCUUUCACGAUUUCACCUGCUGCCAAUCCUGACAAGAUGUAUAGUAUCCAGAAUGCAUUUACAGCCGAGCAACUGAGUUUAGCAGAGCAUUCUCAUCCAGUUGCCUCACUCCAGCAGAAGUAUAAACAUCUGUCCGGUUUGCCCCUUUCACCUCUAAAUAGAGUCCAUCCCAUGCUGCUGGUUGGUGCAGACCAUACGCACCUCAUAACACCCAUAGAGCCAGUCAGACUAGGGCCACCUGGUGGGCCAGCAGCUGUGAAGACGCUCCUCGGAUGGACGCUACAGGGACCAGCUCAAGCCAUCAAGUCCAGCCCUAAUGUAAGUCACUGCCUUUUCACAUCUGCACCAUCCCCCACAGAGCUGUUCUCAUGUGUAGAGAAGUUAUGGCAGAUGGAUGUGCUCCCUUACCGCAGUGAGAAGUUGGCGGUAAGGUCACGACAGGACCAAGAGGCAGUCAAGCUCAUUCAAGAAAAGACAGUGAGAGUUAAUGCCAAUGGCACCAAGCGUUACGCUACACCCCUGCUUCGAGUCAAGAACAUGCCUCUCCUCAAAGCAUCUCCAGAAGCUGUAUUGCCACUCCUGAGAGGUACAGAGAAGCGCUUAGCCAAAUCUCCGGAACAAGCAGCGACAUAUCAGAGGGAGAUCGAGAAACUUGUAGAAGCUGGAUAUGCAGUGAAGUUGGAAGAUCACCAAGUUGAGAGCAGUGUAGAAGCUUGGUAUAUACCCCACCAUAUGGUUCAACAUAAUGGAAGGAACCGUGUGGUGUACAACUGCUCAUUCCAGUACCAAGGUCACAACCUCAACCAGCUCCUCCUGCCAGGUCCCACUCUUGGCCCCGCCUUGCUCGCUGUGCUAUUACGCUUCAGAGAGCAUGCUGUUGCCUUUAGUAGCGAUAUCCGUGGCAUGUUCCACCAAGUGCGGCUCCUGCCUGAGGAUCGACCUCUUCUGCGGUUCUUAUGGAGGGACAUGCAACGGGACCAUCCACCUGAUGUGUACGAGUGGCAGGUACUUCCCUUUGGAACUACUUGCAGCCCUUGUUGCGCAACGUUUGCGUUGCAACAACACGUCACAGACCACAGCAAGCCAGAAGAAGACGUGCGUGUUGUUAUUAACAAAUCUUUCUAUGUGGACAACUGUUUACACAGUCUCGCUUGUCCAGCAACAGCCAGGACUCUUGUAGACAAACUGCGCCAUCUCCUGGCUGAUGGGGGAUUCGAGCUGAGACAGUGGGCAAGUAAUGAUCCAAGUGUCGUUGACCAUCUCCCUCCAGACCAGAAAUCAUCCAGCUGUGAGUUGUGGCUCAGUCAAGGUCAACAAGACAUCCAAGAGCCAGCCCUUGGACUACACUGGAACUGUAAGGCUGACACCCUCACUUAUAAACACAGACACAUUGAUUGCUCAGUGACUACUAUGAGGAACAUAUAUAGAGUUUUAGCUAGCCAGUACGAUCCUCUUGGCUACAUAGUGCCCUAUACCACAAGAGCCAAAGUCAUUGUGCGCUACCUGUGGGAAAAGAGGAGGGAUUGGGAUGACCCACAACUCCCAGAGGAGCUCCUGGAGAAGUGGCAUGCAUGGGAAGCGGAGCUGGCACACUUGUCCGAGAUAACACUGCCCAGGUGCUACACCAGUUCCAAUCUGGAUCAGCCCCAUUGCACAAGAGACCUCCAUGUGUUCUGUGACACCUCUGAACAGGCAUAUGGAUCAGUGGCUUAUCUGAGGACAGAGAAUCCAGAGGGAGAAGUUCAGGUUGCCUUCCUUGUAGCCUGGUCUCGUGUUGCCCCAAGGAAGCAGCAAUCUGUCCCUCGUUUAGAGUUGUGCGCCGCUCUAACAGGUGCUCAACUCUACAAAGUCAUUAGUACCGAGUUAACCCUUCCCAUACACAGUUGCACUUUGUGGUCUGACUCAGCCACUGUCCUAACCUGGUUGGACUCAGACUCCUGCAGAUACAAGGUCUUUGUGGGCACUCUUGUGGCGGAGAUACAAGAGCUGACUGAAGCCGCUACAUGGAGGUAUGUGCCCUCACGAGAAAACCCGGCAGACGACAUCACCCGUGGCCUCACCCUCCGAGACAUUAGUCGGGGCGGUAGAUGGACAGAUGGCCCUGCUUUCCUGAAACACGCUCCGCAAAACUGGCCUGAUCUCCCGCCUCCACUCCAGAGCGAUCCUGAAUGUGAGUUGAAACGACACAUUGUCCUAACCAUGUCCAGUUCUAGUGUUCCAGAUCCACUCCAGUACCAGACCUGGGACAGCUUUCUGGAGGCCACCGCGCAUCAGCAUCAGCUUCACGGGGCGGCUGACCCCAACAGUCCUCUCACUGCUGAUUCCUAUGAUGCUGCUGAACUGGAAGCCUUGCAACAAGCCCAGAGAGAUUCAUUUCCUGAAGAAGUGACUCAGUUAAAGGCUGACAAACCCAUUGCCAAAUCUAGUCGUCUUCUUCUACUUGCCCCUGAGUUUGAUGAGAAGACAGGGCUCAUCAGAGUAGGAGGUCGACUUCGCCGCAAUCCUGACAUGACAAAAGAUGAAGUGCACCCCAUUGUCCUCAACCCCAAACAUGCUCUGACCCGACUCAUCAUACAAGAUUAUGAUGGGAAACUCCAGCAUCCGGGGCCAGAGAGGGUGUUCGCUGAGAUCAGAAGGAGAUAUUGGGUGCUACGUGGACGUGAAGCAGUACGCCGCCACCAAAGAACCUGUGCUGAGUGCAAGAAGUGGAGAGGUCACCCAAAUCCACCCAGGAUGGCAGAUCUCCCUCCAGCCCGACUGCGUCUCUUCAAGCCGGCAUUUUAUUCUACUGGCGUGGAUUGCUUUGGGCCAUACAGCAUCAAGAUAGGACGCAGGAACGAGAAGAGGUGGGGGAUUUUGUUUAAAUGCUUAACCACCAGAGCCGUCCACCUUGACCUGAUUCCCAGUAUGAGCUCUGAUGCAUUCCUAAUGGCCCUGAGACGCUUUGUGGCCAGGCGAGGGAAACCUAGAGAAAUCCUGUGUGAUCAGGGGACAAACUUCCGAGGAGGAGAACGUGAGCUCCAGGAGGCAUUUCAGACACUUCAUCCUGACCUCAAGGAGCAGCUAGCCAGCCAGCAAAUCAAGUUUGUCUUCAACCCCCCUGGAUCCCCACACUUUGGAGGAUGUUGGGAAAGGGAAAUUCGCUCUCUGAAGACCGCUCUCAAGGUGACCAUUGGGGCCCAAACAGUUACUGACGAAGUGUUGCACACAGUCUUAAUUGAAAUUGAGGGAAUACUCAAUUCAAAACCCCUGGGCUACACCUCAUCUGACGUAGCGGACCCUGACCCAGUCACACCCAACUGUCUCCUCAUGGGGCGGCGGGACGCUUCGCUGCCGCAGGUCGUCUAUGAUGGCCCAGAGAUUAUAGGGCGAAGAAGAUGGAGACAUAGCCAAAUGUUGGCUGAUCAUUUCUGGCAACGUUUCAUUAAGCACUAUCUGCCAGGACUCCAAGCCCGACAGAAAUGGCAGACUGAGUCAGCCAAUCUUCAAGUUGGAGACGUUGUUAUGAUAGUUGACAGUCAGCUGCCACGGGCUAUGUGGCCUGUGGGGAAAGUCUCCCAAGUCUUUCCUGGACCAGACACCCGAAUCAGAUCUGCUGAGGUGACGGUGAAGGGAAGAACCUACGUCCGGCCAGUGGCAAGACUCAUCAGCCUACCUGCCCUGCCUAAGGACGAUUGAUCACCCCUUCUUUCAGCCUUUUAGUUGUUCGCAUUCACAGGUGAAUGCGGGGGCGGCUGUAGAAAAGGCUGCCCAGAGACUGUCAUGCUGGCCCUUUAAGGGGCGGAGCUUAGACCUGCAGCGCAGCGUGAGAGAGGAGAGAUGAGGAAAGGAGAGACAGAAAGUUCACGUUUUUCAGUACUGUUGCUUGUUAAGACCUUAACAGUUUAAGUUGGUGGUUUGUUUGUGUCGAAUGCCAAAGCCUGUGCGUGAAAAUAGAAACCACACUGGCAACGACUAAUGUAAGUCAAGUUCAUUAAAAGACAACAAACCAACCAGAGGCUCCUUAUUUAGAGUUCUAACCGGACUCCCAACAGUGAUUUGGACUUUCCUACCAGUCAUUCGUAUCUUUUAGUCAGAAAUGCAGUAUUUCCUUUUUUUUUUUUUUUUUUUUUUAGAAAUGCAGCAUUUGUUUAUUAGUUAUUGAUCAUCAGAAAUCAUGGCAACAUUGAAUAUGUCAUUUUAAUAUAGAUAUACCCACAAACACAAUGACCUUGAGCUGAGCACAGGCUUGUGUUAUGCAUGUGUACAUUAUGUACAUAUACCAAAUCUUGUGACCUAAAUCUGGAAUUGAUGGGACUCGGAAAUACCCCCACAAUUUAAUCGAUUGUUCCUUGUAUCAUUUCCGACGGACAAGUCCCGAUAAGUAGCAAUGGUUGAUCGCAAUCAUGUGAUCAGGCAGUAUGUUCUCUUGUUGUCAUGGUUACAGUGCCGCAGUGCCACUAUCUCGCAAUAAUACAGAAAUCUUCAACAAAUCUGUGGAUCCAGACUAUAAGCCGUAUCACUGCCAAAAUCUAAUCAGUUGGUCCUUCUGUUAUUUCUGACCUUCCCUGAAAAUUUCAUCCAAAUCCGUUAGUCAGCUUUUGAGUAAUGUUGCUAACAGACAGACAAACCAACGCUGUUAUAUCUUCACAUACCUCCGCCGCUUUCCUUGGCGAGUAAUAAUUAUAGCUUCGGUAGUGUGGUAAAU